GUUGUACUGGACACCAAGGUAGCAGGGACCAAGGUGGCAGGAUUUUAUUGUGAUUAUUCUAGUGACUAACUUGAUUAAGUCACCACCCAUCCUGAUUUCAUAAAGCAAGUAAUGCGGAAAACUUCUGAAUUCCUUUUGAGAUCUGGAACUUUACACUGACCACAUUGAUUAGCUGAAUACAGAACCCUGGCAACUGAUGCUAUGCGAAUUAAGCUAGGUCCAUUCAAAGGAAAAGAAAACAGAAUUUGGGAAACAUGAGUGAUGACUCGGUCCCUCUGGAUGUGUUGCCUUCUCUACACAAUGCUUCACAUGAGUUGGAGAAGAAUAUUCUGUGGCCAUCGCUUUCGUGACUUUGGACCAGCAUGCUGGUGGCAUCUGUCUGCCCCCUUCUAAGGUGAAAACUGGACAGAGAAGACAAAACAUGAUCAGGGUCAGAAGACAUACUUUCCCAGUGAUUGCCUAUCUGUACUAGGGAUGGACUAAUUUGUUUUGGAAAUCAGAGUCUGCAGAGUCAAACUACAGAGCAGAAACAGAUCAUUUGCAGGGCUGGAAGAAGUAUUUGUUCCUAUGGGGACACUGUCAUUUGCCUUCCUUCUUCCUGUGUCAUCUGGGACUCUGUGAAGC
rnacentral:lncRNA from 1 species